rnacentral:misc_RNA from 1 species
GCCCUGUGUUCCAAGCAGGCGCAACAAUCUGUUGCGUUGCUAUGGCCCAUAGGACCCUGCUUGUGCCUCUCGGAUGUGGAAAAUUUACGUGGGCGUGGGGUCUCGUCCCCUAUYCGUCCGGCCAAGCGUUCGUCGCUGGAAAACGAAAGACGGCCUYGCUCCGCCUUGACCCUCCCUCGGCCCUCCCGGGGUCGGAGGAGCGGCUCAUGCGGUGCUGGCGUCUGGAAGGAAUGCUACCUGGUUGAUCCUGCCAGUAGUCAUAUGCUUGUCUCAAAGAUUAAGCCAUGCAUGUGUAAGUAUGAACUAAUUCAGACUGUGAAACUG